AUGCACUGGAAAAAAUGGAAGGACAUUGCUAUACCAAAAUGUGAGGGGGGAAUGGGAUUUAGAGAUUUUGGUCUCUUUAACCAAGCCAUGCUAGCGAAGCAAGGAUGGAGAUUGCUGACUAGUCCUGAUUCUCUGUGUGCGAGGGUUCUUAAAGGACGAUAUUAUCACAAUUCUGAUUUUUUGUCGGCAUCGAAUAAGAGGAACUCCUCCCACACAUGGAGAGCUAUUUUACAUGGAAGAGAGACUUUGAAACUGGGUUUAAUUAAACGAGUUGGAGAUGGUGCAAGUAUUAAAAUCUGGGAGGAUCCAUGGAUUGCUUCAAAUCAUGGCUACCGACCAAUCAUCCGGUUGCCAGGGGCAACUGCUACAAAGGUAGAAGAUCUCAUUGAUCAUGAGAAUGGUACAUGGAAUCAGGAGGCUCUGGAAUCGAACUUUGUGGCUCCGGAUAUUCAUGCAUACGUGCAAUGCCAAUCAGUAACUGGGGAGAUGUUGUAUGGGCCUGGGAGAAAGAGAAAAAUGGCCAUUUUACAAUGCGAUCGGCAUAUAAAAUUCUAA
rnacentral:rRNA from 1 species